rnacentral:rRNA from 1 species
GGAGGAAAAGAAACUAACAAGGAUUCCCCUAGUAACGGCGAGUGAAGCGGGAAGAGCUCAAAUUUGAAAUCUGGCAGUCUUCGAUUGUCCGAGUUGUAAUCUAUAGAGGCGUUUUCCGUGCCGGACCGUGUCCAAGUCUCCUGGAAAGGAGUAUCAAAGAGGGUGAUAAUCCCGUACUUAACACGACCACCGGUGCUCUGUGAUACGUCUUCUACGAGUCGAGUUGUUUGGGAAUGCAGCUCAAAAUGGGUGGUGAAUUCCAUCUAAAGCUAAAUAUUGGCGAGAGACCGAUAGCGAACAAGUACCGUGAGGGAAAGAUGAAAAGCACUUUGGAAAGAGAGUUAAACAGUACGUGAAAUUGUUGAAAGGGAAACGAUUGAAGUCAGUCGUGUUCUUUGGAUUCAGCCAGUUCUGCUGGUCUACUUCCUUGGAACGGGUCAACAUCAGUUUUGUCCGGUGGAUAAAGGUAGUAGGAAUGUGACUUCUCCGGAAGUGUUAUAGCCUAUUAUCACAUACACUGGGUGAGACUGAGGACUGCAGCUCGCCUUUAUGGCCGGCCUUCGGGCACGUUCGAGCUUAGGAUGUUGACAUAAUGGCUUUAAACGACCCGUCUUGAACACGG